UACGUAGGGGGCAAGCGUUGUCCGGAUUUAUUGGGCGUAAAGAGCGUGUAGGCGGCCAGGUAGGUCUGCUGUGAAAACUCGAGGCUUAACCUCGAGCUGUCGGCGGAAACCAUCUGGCUAGAGUCCGGAAGAGGAGAAUGGAAUUCCCGGUGUAGCGGUGAAAUGCGCAGAUAUCGGAAGAAGACACCCGUGGCGAAAGCGGCUCUCUGGAACGGUACUGACGCUGAGACGCGAAAGCGUGGGGAGCGAACAGG
rnacentral:rRNA from 1 species